GCAAGGAAAUGGAUUCCGCCCCCACAUGGAUAUGUGAAGAUUAAUGUGGAUGGUGCAGUGUGUAGAAGCCCACCUAUUGGUGCGGUUAGCGCUGUAUGCCGGGAUGGACAAGGUGUGUAUAUGGGUUCUUCGGCUGUGGUUUUUCACGGGCUGACCGACCCACACAUUUUGGAAACUUUGGCGUGUCGUGAGGCGCUAUCGUUGGGAAGGGACUCGCUACUCCAAAACAUCACAGCGGCCUCGGACUGUCUCUCCGCCAUCAACGACAUCAACUCAGGAACUCAUGGUAUCACUGGCCCAAUCGUCAAAGAAAUAAAGGACGGUUGUGGUGAUUUUCAGGCUAUCUCUUUUGUCCAUAAAGGACGUCACUCCAAUACGGAGGCGCAUAGUUUAACUAGACAUGCUUAUUGCAUUUGGGUGAAGGGCGCCAUAUUUGGCUUCUACAACCCUUUGAUACUCUGUUUAUUCCUGUAA
rnacentral:rRNA from 1 species